UAGACUAGUAUAGCAAUUAUACCGUGAAACUGCGAAUGGCUCAUUAAAUCAGUUAUCGUUUAUUUGAUAAUACCUUACUACUUGGAUAACCGUGGUAAUUCUAGAGCUAAUACAUGCUAAAAAUCCCGACUUCGGAAGGGAUGUGUUUAUUAGAUAAAAAACCAAUGCCCUUCGGGGCUUCUUGGUGAUUCAUGAUAACUUUACGGAUCGCAUAGCCUUGCGCUGGCGACGGUUCAUUCAAAUUUCUGCCCUAUCAACUUUCGAUGGUAAGGUAUUGGCUUACCAUGGUUUCAACGGGUAACGGGGAAUUAGGGUUCGAUUCCGGAGAGGGAGCCUGAGAAACGGCUACCACAUCCAAGGAAGGCAGCAGGCGCGCAAAUUACCCAAUCCCGACACGGGGAGGUAGUGACAAUAAAUACUGAUACAGGGCUCUUUUGGGUCUUGUAAUUGGAAUGAGUACAAUUUAAACCUCUUAACGAGGAACAAUUGGAGGGCAAGUCUGGUGCCAGCAGCCGCGGUAAUUCCAGCUCCAAUAGCGUAUAUUAAAGUUGUUGCAGUUAAAAAGCUCGUAGUUGAAACUUGGGCCUGGCUGGCGGGUCCGCCUCACCGCGUGCACUCGUCCGGCCGGGCCUUCCUUCUGAAGAACCUCAUGCCCUUCACUGGGCGUGUUGGGGAAUCAGGACUUUUACUUUGAAAAAAUUAGAGUGUUCAAAGCAGGCCUUUGCUCGAAUACGUUAGCAUGGAAUAAUAAAAUAGGGCGUGCGUUUCUAUUUUGUUGGUUUCUAGAGACGCCGCAAUGAUUAACAGGAACAGUCGGGGGCAUCAGUAUUCAGUUGUCAGAGGUGAAAUUCUUGGAUUUACUGAAGACUAACUACUGCGAAAGCAUUUGCCAAGGAUGUUUUCAUUAAUCAGUGAACGAAAGUCAGGGGAUCGAAGACGAUCAGAUACCGUCGUAGUCUUGACCGUAAACUAUGCCCGACUAGGGGAUCGGGCGAUGUUUCUUUUUUCUGACUCG
rnacentral:rRNA from 1 species